rnacentral:misc_RNA from 1 species
AAUUUGCACAGAUUUCCGGUGCUCCAUGUGAAACGUUUCUUUUUUCUCUAGCUCAAUUUUCUUUGAACUAAGUGCAACGUGGUCGUUGCUUUCAGUACUCGUUGCUCUCAGUAGUCUCAGCAGUCUCUUUCGUGCUGAAAGCCUGAAACUAGAUAACAAUGUUUUAUUGCAUGUGAGGGAAUUUUGUGCCAUUCCAACAUGUGGUCAGGCUUGUCCUUUUACAAUUGAAUCAAACAAUGUGAUGCUGAAAAAUCUUGUUGAGCCAUGCACACGUUGAGUCUGUGUGAUGAAAAACUUGAGAUGAGUGGAAAACUGGACUUGUGUAUUGAGACUUAAGAAUUCCCUUCACGUCAGUGACUAAAAUUCACCAGAUUUACUAUUGCUGCUUGCUUCAGCUGGCUUGCUGCAACAUGGUGGUCGAACUCUUCAUCAAAUUCCAUCCCUUCUCCCAGAGGCUUCAAUGAAUUCCACUUCAAGAUCGAAACCUAGUAGAUGUUAUCUCCCCAUCAUUUUCAUUCGAAUAAGACAACAUCAUGGACUUUGCCGCCGGACAAGACUCAGUCCAAAUUCGUCCAACAGCCGGAGUCCGACAAGGAGAUCCAUUAAGCAGCGUUGUCUUCAAUCUGGCAGCAGAACCGAUCAUUAGAACAGUAAAAUCAAACAACAACGGGUUCGCAGUCUACCAGUCAAGAGUGUCCACCACUACCUACGCAGACAACAUUGCCAUCGCAGGAUCUUCAGUCCGCAAAAUCCAGGGAACUCUCAAUGCCACCGAGAACACGGCAACCUCACUCGGCUUGAAAUUAAAUCCCAGCAAAUGCACGUCACUCACACUCAUUAAUGGCAAAUCUUCUGUAGAUAACCCUCUGAGACUUGGAGACUCCCAAAUAUGGGCCCUAGCCGAGGACAAACAGGAAAGCUAUCUAGGGACUCCACUAGGCUCACGACUAACCUUCCAACCCACCACAUCACUUCUCGGAAACUUGAUUAAGAUUGGCAACUCCGGCUUGGCUCCUUGGCAAAAGCUGGAGGUGUACAGAAGUGUACUGCUCCCAUGACUCUCCCACCACCUUGCAUCGGGAAGGGUCGAGAAUUGGUCCCUCUACGACCUGAACGUCGCCUACCGCCGCGUGGGAGGACUUGGAGUUCUCCCUCUCACAGACGAGGCUGAAAAUUGGACCCUGGCCCGAGCACUGCAACUCCUAGAUAGCAAAGACAAGAACGUCAGCGAAGUGGCAAUGGCACAACUAGAAGAAACCAUCAAAUUGGGAUACGGCAGGAACGAAGUUCCAUUUCCAUUUCCCAUUAACGAGUACUUGGCAGGUUCCAUGGAAAAGGGACUUGGAGCAAUCCGACAUGGAGGAGCAUCGAUGAACCUUUGGACCCGCGCAAGGAAGGCCUCGGGCUAUUUGAAGAGGAUAAGGAUUGAUGUAUCCGGCGAAGAGUACAACAAAGUUAUCGCCGAUGACAUCUCCACAAUCUCCAUCAAGACAGUCAGAGGACUCCGGACCGCGAUGAGGCAAAGGUGGACCAACAGACUCCUGUCAGCUCAACAAGGAAAGACGGCAACUGGAUUAGCUCUUGACAUGGCUAAGGAGAACGCAGGUCUCUUAUCAUGCCGAACGCCACUGUCCUUCCAGAAAUGGCACUUUCUCCACAAGCCGAGACUAGGGAUACUUCCAGUCCGAGGUGGCCCAGGAUCAAAGUCGACAGUCAAACCUGUCGACUAGGUUGUACAAAGCUGGAAACCACAGCCCAUGUUGUUUGUGGGUGCUAGGUAAACUCCACUCUUUCUAUUAAUCGUCAUAAUUCUAUCUUAGGACUGAUGGCGGAAGAAACGGAGAAACUUGGCCACACCGUCUCCGUCAACCUCUCCGUGGACAACUCCGGACUCAGACCAGACCUGGUGGUCACUUCCACCAACCCUUCCAUCAUCAUCGACGUCACGGUUUCACUCAGCAGCGCGGAUGGACUCGAGAAGGGACAGGCAAGGAAAAUUGAAAAGUACAAACACCUUGGUGUGGUACUCCCUCUCGUGGUUGGUUCGCUAGGGUCCUGGCUUCCAAGCAACGAUGAGAUAUGUCUUGCCCUGGGAUUCUCGGGUAGAAAAUGGCUGAACCUCAAGAAGAAGAUAAAACUACUGGCCAUCCAAGGAACAACCCAAAUCAUAGCCAAACCCCUGGCAUACCAGACCGAAGCAAGCGAUCCCGAACCCGAAGAAGAAGAAGAAUAAAAGGGCGCAAGUCCUCCCUCUUCCUCAAACUAAGGGUUUUUUAACGUAGCGUUGACACGUCGUCUCGCGUACUUUUUCCCUUAAAACUCAAUUAAUAUAAAUCAUUGUAUAUAUGUUUAUUCUCAGUCCUUUAGAAAAUACAAUGCAAAAAAUCUGU